CUUAGUGGCGGACGGGUGAGUAACGCGUGGGUAACCUGCCUUGCACUGGGGGAUAACACUUAGAAAUAGGUGCUAAUACCGCAUAAGCGCACGGUCCUGCAUGGGACAGUGUGAAAAACUCCGGUGGUGCAAGAUGGACCCGCGUCUGAUUAGCUGGUUGGCGGGGUAAAGGCCCACCAAGGCGACGAUCAGUAGCCGGCCUGAGAGGGUGGACGGCCACAUUGGGACUGAGACACGGCCCAAACUCCUACGGAAGGCAGCAG
rnacentral:rRNA from 1 species